ensembl:lncRNA
AGUUGAGCGAGGGAGAGAGAGAGAGGGUUAGUGAAGAGGUUGAGCGAGGGAGAGAGAGAGAGGUUUAGUGGAGAGGUUGAGCGAGGGAGAAAGGGCUAGUGAAGAGGUUGAGCGAGGGAGAGAGAGAGGGCUAGUGGAGAGGUUGAGCAAGGGAGAGAGAGGGCUAGUGGAGAGGUUGAGCGUGGGAGAGAGAGAGGGCUAGUGGAGAUGUUGAGAGAGGGCUAGUGGAGAGGUUGAGCGAGGGUAAGAGGGGUAGUGGAGAGGUUGAGCGAGGGAAAGAGAGAGGGAGGGAGAGAGCUAGUGGAGAGGUUGAGCGCGGGAGAGAGGGCUAGUGGAGAGGUUGAGCGAGGGAGAGAGGGCUAGUGGAGAGGUUGAGUGAGGGAGAGAGGGCUAUUGGAGAGGUUGAGCGAGGGAGAGAGGGCUAGUGGAGAGGUUGAGCGAGGGAGAGAGGGCUAGUGGAGAGGUUGAGCGUGGGAGAGAGAGAGGGCUAGUGGAGCUGUUGAGAGAGGGCUAGUGGAGAGGUUGAGCGAGGGUAAGAGGG